rnacentral:rRNA from 1 species
AACGAACGCUGGCGGCAGGCCUAACACAUGCAAGUCGAGCGCCCUCUUCGGAGGGAGCGGCGGACGGGUUAGUAACGCGUGGGAACGUGCCCUUCUCUAAGGAAUAGCCACUGGAAACGGUGAGUAAUACCUUAUACGCCCUUCGGGGAAAGAUUUAUCGGAGAAGGAUCGGCCCGCGUUAGAUUAGAUAGUUGGUGGGGUAACGGCCUACCAAGUCUACGAUCUAUAGCUGGUUUGAGAGGAUGAUCAGCAACACUGGGACUGAGACACGGCCCAGACUCCUACGGGAGGCAGCAGUGGGGAAUCUUAGACAAUGGGCGCAAGCCUGAUCUAGCCAUGCCGCGUGAGUGAUGAAGGCCUUAGGGUCGUAAAGCUCUUUCGCCUGUGAUGAUAAUGACAGUAGCAGGUAAAGAAACCCCGGCUAACUCCGUGCCAGCCGCCGCGGUAAU